rfam:Myotis brandtii contig259907, whole genome shotgun sequence.
GGCGGUUCUCGGGUGACACACCCCAGAAUCAGGCUCCCUCCUCUCAUUCUGGGGGCAUCAUCCGAGAACCACA